UUAAUUGAAGAGUUUGAUCAUGGCUCAGAUUGAACGCUGGCGGCAGGCCUAACACAUGCAAGUCGAGCGGCAGCACAGAGGAACUUGUUCCUUGGGUGGCGAGCGGCGGACGGGUGAGUAAUGCCUGGGAAAUUGCCCGGUAGAGGGGGGAUAACCAUUGGAAACGAUGGCUAAUACCGCAUAACCUCGCAAGAGCAAAGCAGGGGACCUUCGGGCCUU
rnacentral:rRNA from 2 species